rnacentral:rRNA from 1 species
GACGAACGCUGGCGGCGUGCUUAACACAUGCAAGUCGAACGAUGAACCCGGAGCUUGCUCUGGGGGAUUAGUGGCGAACGGGUGAGUAACACGUGAGUAACCUGCCCUGGACUCUGGGAUAAGCGUUGGAAACGACGUCUAAUACCGGAUAGGACCUUGGAUCGCAUGAUCUGGGGUGGAAAGUUUUUUCGGUCUGGGAUGGACUCGCGGCCUAUCAGCUUGUUGGUGAGGUAAUGGCUCACCAAGGCGUCGACGGGUAGCCGGCCUGAGAGGGUGACCGGCCACACUGGGACUGAGACACGGCCCAGACUCCUACGGGAGGCAGCAGUGGGGAAUAUUGCACAAUGAGCGAAAGCCUGAUGCAGCAACGCCGCGUGCGGGAUGACGGCCUUCGGGUUGUAAACCGCUUUUAGUAGGGAAGAAGGGCUUCGGCUUGACGGUACCUGCAGAAAAAGAACCGGCUAACUACGUG